UACAGAGGGUGCAAGCGUUGUCCGGAUUUAUUGGGUUUAAAGGGUGCGUAGGCGGCCUGUUAAGUCAGUGGUGAAAGCCUCCAGCUCAACUGGAGAACUGCCAUUGAUACUGUCAGGCUUGAGUACAGACGAGGUAGGCGGAAUUGAUUGUGUAGCGGUGAAAUGCAUAGAUACAAUCAAGAACACCGAUUGCGUAGGCAGCUUACUAGGCUGUAACUGACGCUGAGGCACGAAAGCGUGGGGAGCGAACAGG
rnacentral:rRNA from 1 species